AUUGAACGCUGGCGGCAGGCCUAACACAUGCAAGUCGAGCGGAUGAAGGGAGCUUGCUCCUGGAUUCAGCGGCGGACGGGUGAGUAAUGCCUAGGAAUCUGCCUGGUAGUGGGGGAUAACGUCCGGAAACGGGCGCUAAUACCGCAUACGUCCUGAGGGAGAAAGUGGGGAUGUUCGGACCUCACGCUAUCAGAUGAGCCUAGGUCGGAUUAGCUAGUUGGUGGGGUAAAGGCCUACCAAGGCGACGAUCCGUAACUGGUCUGAGAGGAUGAUCAGUCACACUGGAACUGAGACACGGUCCAUACUCCUACGGGAGGCAGCAGUGGGGAAUAUUGGGCAAUGGGCGAAAGCCUGAUCCAGCCAUGCCGCGUGUGCGAAGAAGGUCUUCGGAUUGUAAAGCACUUUAAGGUGGGAGGAAGGGCAGUAAGUUAAUACCUUGCUGUUUUGACGUUACCAACAGAAUAAGCACCGGCUAACUUCGUG
rnacentral:rRNA from 1 species